rnacentral:rRNA from 1 species
GACGAACGCUGGCGGCGUGCUUAACACAUGCAAGUCGAACGGAAAGGCCCUGCUUUUGUGGGGUGCUCGAGUGGCGAACGGGUGAGUAACACGUGAGUAACCUGCCCUUGACUUUGGGAUAACUUCAGGAAACUGGGGCUCAUACCCGAUAGGAGCUCCUGCUGCAUGGUGGGGGUUGGAAAGUUUCGGCGGUUGGGGAUGGACUCGCGGCUUAUCAGCUUGUUGGUGGGGUAGUGGCUUACCACGGCUUUGGCGGGUAGCCGGCCUGGGAGGGUGACCGGCCACAAUGGGACUGCGAUACGGCCCAGACUCCUACGGGAGGCAGCAGUGGGGAAUAUUGCACAAUGGGCGGAAGCCUGAUGCAGCAACGCCGCGUGCGGGAUGACGGCCUUCGGGUUGUAAACCGCUUUCGCCUGUGACGAAGCGUGAGUGACGGUAAUGGGUAAAGAAGCACCGGCUAACUACGUG